CGCCGCGAGAGGGACGGGUGGGGUUGAGGGUGCAGAUGGCUGCGUCUGGAAAGGACUCGGCCCUGAAGAGCCCCAGGGUCAGCCUCCCGCGGCCGGCAGCGGAGGAACUUAACCCUACCUCACAGCGCAGCCAAGGCCCGCUCCCCACACGAGCCCGUGGAGAAAAUCCAGCAGACUGAGUGCCGGAGGCCUUCGUCACUGCUGAACGUCAAAAAGGGUCAUUUUGAUGACAGGACGCUGACCUCACCCGUGGGGGGUGAGCUUCACACGCCGGAGGAUGUUGUUCUCAAACCCGUGGAGGUCACAGAGGCCGAGUUUUCUCUCUUAAAACUCUCACCUCGCGAAUACGCCCUUCCCAGGUCCUGAUCUCCGGGCCCACGGAUGACCCCACACACACACACACGGGCUGCGUUCACCUCAGAUUUGAAAGCGUUUCCUAGUCCACUGCACGUGACCAGUCUAAAUAGCCAGAGAUAACGUGAACCCGUGUGAGUUACAUCCGAGUUUUAAAAUAAUGCAUCCGUGAGUGUCUGUCAUUGCUUUAAGGCGCUACAUGGAAACUUUGACGAAGCCGAGCAUAGGGUACCGGAAGCUACCAGGUGAUUCGCUGUGAGUUUUAACUGGGCCAUCAAGGUCUGUUGUAAAGGGGAAAAAAAACAGGAGGGAGAAGACAAGAACUAGCCAGGUGCCAGGCAUCCCAAAAACCUGAUCCUGAGACAAAAUUCCAUAGAUAAUUACUCUGGAAGAGGAGACACUUGGAGGGUGAGAUGUAUGGAAUCACUAACUCUUUUAACCAAACAA